UACGAAGGGGGCGAGCGUUGUUCGGAUUUACUGGGCGUAAAGGGCGCGUAGGCGGCCACCGCAAGUCGACUGUGAAAUCUCCGGGCUUAACCCGGAAAGGUCAGCCGAUACUGCGGGGCUAGAGUGCAGAAGGGGCAACUGGAAUUCUCGGUGUAGCGGUGAAAUGCGUAGAUAUCGAGAGGAACACCUGCGGCGAAGGCGGGUUGCUGGGCUGACACUGACGCUGAUGCGCGAAAGCUAGGGGAGCGAACGGG
rnacentral:rRNA from 1 species